rnacentral:rRNA from 1 species
CCUACGUGUGGCAGCAGUGGGGAAUAUUGCGCAAUGGGCGAAAGCCUGACGCAGCGACGCCGCGUGAGGGAUGAAGGUCUUCGGAUCGUAAACCUCUGUCAGCAGGGCAGAACGGUCACUGUGCUAAUCAGCAGUGAAUUGACGGUACCUGCAAAGGCAGCACCGGCUAACUCCGUGCCAGCAGCCGCCGUACUACGGAGGGUGCGAGCGUUAAUCGGAAGUACUGGGGGUAAAGCGCUCGUAGGCGGUAUGUCAAGUCAAUGGUGAAAUCCCCGCGCACAACGUGGGAACUGCCUUGGAAACUGGCAAACUGGAGUGUGUGAGAGGAUAGUGGAAUUCCAGGUGUAGGAGUGAAAGCAGUAGAUAUCUGGAGGAACAUCAGUGGCGAAGGCGACUAUCUGGCACAUAACUGACGCUGAGGAGCGAAAGCGUGGGUAGCAAACAGGAUUAGAUACCCCAGUAGUC